GGGGAUCCACCCGUUCCCAUACCGAACACGGAAGUUAAGCCC
rnacentral:rRNA from 1 species